CCUGCUGCCCUAACUUGAGUGGACGUCUCUGUAAAAGCACUGAGGCAGCUUUGGAGCCCACCUUUGAGGCCUGGAAUCACGAGGCACCUUCCACACCCUGGCAGCCUUUACAUCUGCUUGGAGGAUCCAGUCCUGACACUCGGGGUUGCAGUCGCUCUGCUCAGGGAGUCAUCUCUCUACUCUAGUCAUGCCUGGGGCUUUUACACAGGUUCCAUCUCAGGUCCUCAGGCUGAUGUGUGACUUUACCAGCUACACUGUCUCCCCUUGAGUCAACAGUCUUGAAGCCUUCAGCCAGGUCCCUGUAGUCUGAGCUGUCUGGCGGGACCAUGUGAUUAAAUGCAGAUUAAUACUAUUACAAUCUAUUUAUUUUUAUGUGCAUUGGUGUUUUGCCUGCAUUAUCUCUGUGUGAUCAUGUCAGAUCUCUGGGAACUGGAGUUACAGAGGUUUGUGAGCUGGUGUGGGAUUGAACUUGGGUCCUCUGGAAGAGCAUCCAGUGCUCUUAACCACUGAACCCUCUCCCCCGGCCCUGACUGUGAAUUUUUGGAAAAUAAACUGUAACUGAUGUUGUAUCCUUA